rnacentral:rRNA from 1 species
UACGUAGGUGACAAGCGUUAUCCGGAUUUAUUGGGCGUAAAGCGCACGCAGGCGGUCUAUCAAGUCUGACGUGAAAUCUCUCGGCUUAACCGGGAGCGGUCGUUGGAAACUGAUGGACUUGAGGCGAUGAGAGGGGUGUGGAAUUCCCGGUGUAGCAGUGAAAUGCGUAGAUAUCUGGAGGAACACCGGUGGCGAAGGCGGCAUCCUGGACCGAUACUGACGCUGAGGAGCGAAAGCCAGGGGGAGCAAACGGG